rnacentral:lncRNA from 1 species
AACCAAUAAAAGGUAUUGACAUUAUUCAUGAAGUGAGCACCAUAGGAAAGGUAAAAGAAUGAAAUUUUUGUUAAUUGGAUGUUGAUGUGAUUAUGGUGUGUAUAACAAAACUUUAGUUUAUUGAUCGAACUUUUUUCAAUCAAGAAUGUUUGUUUAUGGAAUUUACAAUGAUAUUGUUUUUAUAUGGAACGAUAUUGUGAAGGGAUACACUUGCACUUUUACGGUAUCAAUUCUACAUAAUAGUGGCUUCAUAAUGGACUUUUUACAUCUCCCCAUCCGUUGAUGUUCGAGAAAGAUUUCGAUUCAAUGGGUAAGUGUUUAUCAUUUUGAGGAGGAUAGAAGUACUUAUCUCUUAGCAUGUUGAGCAGAGUGUAAAAUAUUUUAUAAACUCUCUUACACUUUUUAAACUAUCUCUUUUUGGCAGCGUAGGAAUCGACUUAAGGCAUGUCAAUUGUUUUUCUCUUCAUAAUUAUUAUUUUUUAAAUGCCAAUUUUUGUGAAGGCUUCAACGUAAUUUCAUUUGCUCGCUACUUUACUAUAAGACUAGAUUGCUAAUGGCCAUAGUAGAGUAUUGACAAUAGAGGAUUUAUAAUAGAAUAUUUCAACAAAAUAAUAGAGAUUAGAUAUUUUGAGUUGAAUUUGUUGGUUCUUUUUCUUUAUUAGAAGAGCUUGACUUACACAGUGGACUUGUUAGGGUUGGACAAAACUUUUAAACCAAAUAGGAUCGAACUGAAUCGAGUGGUUCUUCUUAAGUUAAGUAUCCAAAUGAGUAUCUGAAUCGAGAAUCAACAAGUUUUAUCCAAUUCUCGAUUCUAGACCGAGAGCUAAAUAACUGAAUAAGAAUCGAAUAUCCCUAUUUUUUUAAGUCUCAAAGCAGGGUUCCGACUUAUGUAAUCUAGUAUUUUCAUUUUUUUUGAAGGUAUUAUUUUUAAUGUUGGAGUCAAUUGAAAGUGAAACAUGUGUUUCUGAUUAUUAUGAAAAUAAUGUUAUUGACAAGAGUUAUGACGAGGUUCCGUUACUUCUCAUUUUUCUUGGUUCAAGAUUUUAGAGCUUGGUGUUGUACUAGGAAAGAUGAAGAAGUUUUAAUGUCUGAAGAUUUCUACUUUUAGAAAUAUUUGUUAAAUAUCAACAGAUCUGAUAAUUUAUUCUCAUAAUCAUAGCAUGUGAUGAAUAAUAAUAAAAGAAAACAUAUCUUCAAUGGUUGGCAAAACUUGAUUAGAAGCCAUGGGAGAUCAAUAAAGAACCUUCAGAUCUGAUAGAAAACAAGACAAGGAGGCUAGGGUUCUUUUGAAUCCAAUUCUUCAAUCUUAUUCACAUUGUUCAUACACCAAA